GAAAUCCCAACCUGAUGGAUCUGCAGCACAGAAGCUGAAGCAGGCUAGCACAGCUUCAGAAACAUUGCCAAGUUCUCAGCCAAGAACAUUAGUUUGCCAGUCCCAGCACAAGACGGUGGCACCAGCAGAGCCCAGCAACUUGGAGUCAGGGAGCACCAGGGACGGCGACAGCUCCU